rnacentral:tRNA from 1 species
CCGUCGAUAGUCAGUUGGCAGAGCGGUGGACUGUAGAUCCAUAGGUCGCUGGUUCGACUCCGGCUCGGCGGA